rnacentral:lncRNA from 10 species
GAGUGAUUAAAGAUUGUUGGGGCAGGGUGUGUGCAAGUUGAACUUAGCUCAGUGCAUCCACUGGCAAGGAGGUGGUAGCAGGAAAUAGGCAUGUGGUGACUUCAGUAACAGAGACGACUGCAGGGCUGACCUAAGCUUAGUAGCCUGGCUUCUCCGGGAGCUGAGGGUGAGCAUCAUGCCUGCUCCAUCUCCCUCUUUGUUGUGGAUAAGGCAGGUAGGAAGAAUGACGGAUUGCCUUACCCUUUCUAAUUGUUGUGUGCUCUCCAUACCCCACCCAAUCCUACUUCAACAUUGUCACCUAAGGAUUCACAAACCCACCCUUGUGCGAAUCCAGCCGUCUGUGUUCUAGACUGGCAAGGACCAUAUCUGAUUCUGAGAUGCUCAGGAAGGUGUGCUCCCAAUUGGCCCUUGUCCAGACUAGUUUACUUGCUGAGUAUCCCCAGGGCACAGGAACAAUCAUUUGGGGUUGCGGCUUUGUUCAUAGGGUCAUCAAGACAGGAGGAUAUGAGGCAGAAUCACCACACAAGCUAACCUGAUGUACAUAUGACAUUAAUCCAAUAGACUUAGGAAUAAGAUACAGGGGGUUUUCCUGAAUGAUUCGAGUAUAUCCCCAUUCAUAUUAAGAAAACAAAGUAUUGGCCAAGCGUGGUGGCUCACGCCUGUAAUCCCGGCACUUUGGAAGGCCGAGGCCAGUGGAUCACCUGAGGUAAGGAUCACUAAGACCAGCCUGUCCAAUAUGGUGAAACCCCGUCUCUACUAAAAAUACAAAACUAGCCGAGUGUGGUGGUGGGCACCUGUAAUGCCAGCUACUCGGGAGGCCUAGGCAGGAGAAUCGCUUGAACCCAGGAGGCAGAGGUUGCAGUGAGCCGAGACUGCGCCAUUGCACUCCAGCCUGGGCAAAAGGAGCAAAACUCUAAGUGUCUGAACUGCCUAAAUGAUCUCAUAAUUUCAUGAAAACAUAAUUUAGAUACAUAGGUGUACAAUAUUUACAUUUGCAUUAUUUAGUAAGAUGGGCUUUUUCCCCUGCUGGAGGCUGCGGAAUGAGAUUAAUGGGAACACUGGUGACAGAGUGCAGGGGAAAACACACACUGCCAACUCUUGCCUUGGAGUGGCAUUUCUCAGUCUUAACCUCGCAGUAUAUUCCAAACCCAUAAAAGGUCAUUUGCCUUCUCUCGCAAGCCUUUAAUUCACUUGAGAGAUGGGCUUAGACAAAGAUAAAGCCCCUGUGAAUUGGUAGCCUCGCUUUGGGAAAAGACUUACACAGUAACUAAGGUAUUGGAUAAACAGACUCUAACAAUUUACUUACAGAUCUCAUAACUAUGAUUAUUGUAUUGAUCAUUUAUUCAUACACAUAAUAGCUGCCUUGAAUUUCCUUUCAACAGAAAAAGGAUCAGUUUCAAUAUAAUUAAAAGUUGG